rnacentral:rRNA from 1 species
CGGAGGGUGCGAGCGUUGUCCGGAAUCACUGGGCGUAAAGGGCGCGUAGGUGGCUUGGUAAGCGUGUGGUGAAAGCCCGGGGCUCAACCCCGGGUCUGCCGUGCGAACUGCUAUAGCUAGAGUACUGUAGAGGCAGGUUGAAUUCCGGGUGUAGCGGUGGAAUGCGUAGAGAUCCGGAAGAAUACCGGUGGCGAAGGCGGCCUGCUGGGCAGUUACUGACACUGAGGCGCGACAGCGUGGGGAGCAAACAGGAUUAGAUACCCUGGUAGUCCACGCCGUAAACGAUGGGCACUAGAUGCUUGGGGGAGCGACCCUCUGAGUGUCGUCGCUAACGCAGUAAGUGCCCCGCCUGGGGAGUACGGCCGCAAGGCUG